AGAGUUUGAUCCUGGCUCAGGAUGAACGCUGGCGGCGUGCCUAAUACAUGCAAGUCGAGCGAACGGACGAGAAGCUUGCUUCUCUGAUGUUAGCGGCGGACGGGUGAGUAACACGUGGAUAACCUACCUAUAAGACUGGGAUAACUUCGGGAAACCGGAGCUAAUACCGGAUAAUAUUUUGAACCGCAUGGUUCAAAAGUGAAAGACGGUCUUGCUGUCACUUAUAGAUGGAUCCGCGCUGCAUUAGCUAGUUGGUAAGGUAACGGCUUACCAAGGCAACGAUGCAUAGCCGACCUGAGAGGGUGAUCGGCCACACUGGAACUGAGACACGGUCCAGACUCCUACGGGAGGCAGCAGUAGGGAAUCUUCCGCAAUGGGCGAAAGCCUGACGGAGCAACGCCGCGUGAGUGAUGAAGGUCUUCGGAUCGUAAAACUCUGUUAUUAGGGAAGAACAUAUGUGUAAGUAACUGUGCACAUCUUGACGGUACCUAAUCAGAAAGCCACGGCUAACUACGUGCCAGCAGCCGCGGUAAUACGUAGGUGGCAAGCGUUAUCCGGAAUUAUUGGGCGUAAAGCGCGCGUAGGCGGUUUUUUAAGUCUGAUGUGAAAGCCCACGGCUCAACCGUGGAGGGUCAUUGGAAACUGGAAAACUUGAGUGCAGAAGAGGAAAGUGGAAUUCCAUGUGUAGCGGUGAAAUGCGCAGAGAUAUGGAGGAACACCAGUGGCGAAGGCGACUUUCUGGGCUGUAACUGACGCUGAUGUGCGAAAGCGUGGGGAUCAAACAGGAUUAGAUACCCUGGUAGUCCACGCCGUAAACGAUGAGUGCUAAGUGUUAGGGGGUUUCCGCCCCUUAGUGCUGCAGCUAACGCAUUAAGCACUCCGCCUGGGGAGUACGACCGCAAGGUUGAAACUCAAAGGAAUUGACGGGGACCCGCACAAGCGGUGGAGCAUGUGGUUUAAUUCGAAGCAACGCGAAGAACCUUACCAAAUCUUGACAUCCUUUGACAACUCUAGAGAUAGAGCCUUCCCCUUCGGGGGACAAAGUGACAGGUGGUGCAUGGUUGUCGUCAGCUCGUGUCGUGAGAUGUUGGGUUAAGUCCCGCAACGAGCGCAACCCUUAAGCUUAGUUGCCAUCAUUAAGUUGGGCACUCUAAGUUGACUGCCGGUGACAAACCGGAGGAAGGUGGGGAUGACGUCAAAUCAUCAUGCCCCUUAUGAUUUGGGCUACACACGUGCUACAAUGGACAAUACAAAGGGCAGCGAAACCGCGAGGUCAAGCAAAUCCCAUAAAGUUGUUCUCAGUUCGGAUUGUAGUCUGCAACUCGACUACAUGAAGCUGGAAUCGCUAGUAAUCGUAGAUCAGCAUGCUACGGUGAAUACGUUCCCGGGUCUUGUACACACCGCCCGUCACACCACGAGAGUUUGUAACACCCGAAGCCGGUGGAGUAACCUUUUAGGAGCUAGCCGUCGAAGGUGGGACAAAUGAUUGGGGUGAAGUCGUAACAAGGUAGCCGUAUCGGAAGGUGCGGCUGGAUCACCU
rnacentral:rRNA from 1 species